AUAAUCCCAGCACUUUGAGAGACCAAGGUGGAAGGAUCACAUGAGCCUAGGAAUUCAAGACCAGCAUGGGCAACAUAAUGCCUUAUGGUCCUUCUAAUAUCUUCUCUCCAGAGGACUAUAUGCUGUUCUUAAGGACUCUCUGCUUCCUGGACAAGCUCAAGAU
rnacentral:sRNA from 1 species